GCGAAAAGCUCAUUACAACAGCCAUAGUUUAUUGGAUGUUUACGUUCCUACAUGGACACCUGCGGUAAUUCUGGAGCUAAUACAUGCACAAGCCGACGACCUUACGGAAGUCGCGCAUUUGUUAGAUCAAACCAAUCGGUCCUCCGGGACCGUAAUUUGAUGACUCUGAACAACUUAGCUGACCGCACAGUCUCGUACUGGCGGCAUAUCUUUCAAGUGUCUGCCUUAUCAACUUUCGUUGGUAGUUUAUACGACUACCAAGGUUGUAACGGGUAACGGAGAAUAAGGGUUCGACUCCGGAGAGGGAGCCUGAGAAACGGCUACCACAUCCMAGGAAGGCAGCAGGCGCGCAAAUUACCCACUCGCAGAACGCGGAGGUAGUGACGAAAAAUAACGAGGUGGCUCUCUAUGAGGUCCAUCAUCGGAAUGGGUACAAUUUAAAUCCUUUAACGAGGAUCUAUUGGAGGGCAAGUCUGGUGCCAGCAGCCGCGGUAAUUCCAGCUCCAAUAGCGUAUACUAAAGUUGUUGCGGUUAAAAAGCUCGUAGUUGGAUCUGCGCUCUGUGAGAGCGGUCGCUCGCUGAGUUGUACUGUCUCUCACGGGCUAACCAUUCGGUUUUCCCUUGAUGCUCUUCAUUGAGUGUCCUGGGUGACCGAAACGUUUACUUUGAAAAAAUUAGAGUGCUCAAAGCAGGCGAUUUGCCCGAAUAUUCGUGCAUGGAAUAAUAAAAGAGGUCCUUGUAGCCUUUUAUUGGUUAUCGCUACGAGGAAAUGAUCGAAGGGGACAGACGGGGGCAUUUGUAUUGCGACGUUAGAGGUGAAAUUCUUGGAUCGUCGCAAGACAAACUACUGCGAAAGCAUUUGCCAAGAAUGUUUUCAUCAAUCA
rnacentral:rRNA from 1 species